UGGACAGUUAUUGCUAAACCAGCAAUUGAAAAAAUUGUUAUAGAAACAUGUGAAGCAAUAAAUAAGGUGCUUAAAAACUAGAUAAAGCUCCCGAUUAUUCCUCAUUGCAUUGGAGCUCUUGCUGAAAGUCAUGUAAAUAUUAUGUAACUCCCUGGAUGAUAUUUGGCUAAAUGAGAUAAGCCGCCCCCCCCUAAUGCCACUACACCAAUACACCACACAACACAACUCACCACACUUCUACA